CAGUAGCCGCGGGAAUACGGAGGGUGCAAGCGUUAGUCGGAUUUACUGGGCGUAAAGGGCGCGUAGGUGGUUAUUUAAGUGAGAUGUGAAAGCCCCGGGCUUAACCUGGGAACUGCAUCUUAUACUGGGUAACUGGAGUGCAGUAGAGGGUAGUGGAAUUUCCGGUGUAGCGGUGAAAUGCGUAGAUAUCGGAAGGAACACCAAUGGCGAAGGCAGCUUCUUGGUCCAUUCCUGACGUUCAUACACGAAAGCGUGGGGAGCAAACAGGAUUAGAUACCCCUGUAGUCCCUGUCUCUUAUAC
rnacentral:rRNA from 1 species